rnacentral:rRNA from 1 species
UAGAGUUUUGAUCCUGGCUCAGAUUGAACGCUGGCGGCAGGCCUAACACAUGCAAGUCGAGCGGAUGAAAGGAGCUUGCUCCUGGAUUCAGCGGCGGACGGGUGAGUAAUGCCAGGAAUCUGCCUGGUAGUGGGGGACAACGUUUCGAAAGGAACGAUACCGCAUACGUCCUACGGGAGAAAGCAGGGGACCUUCGGGCCUUGCGCUAUCAGAUGAGCCUAGGUCGGAUUAGCUAGUUGGUGAGGUAAUGGCUCACCAAGGGACGAUCCGUAACUGGUCUGAGAGGAUGAUCAGUCACACUGGAACUGAGACACGGUCCAGACUCCUACGGGAGGCAGCAGUGGGGAAUAUUGGACAAUGGGCGAAAGCUGAUCCAGCCAUGCCGCGUGUGUGAAGAAGGUCUUCGGAUUGUAAAGCACUUUAAGUUGGGAGGAAGGGCAGUAAAUUAAUACUUUGCUGUUUUGACGUCCGACAGAAUAAGCACCGGCUAACUCUGUGCCAGCAGCCGCGGUAAUACAGAGGGUGCAAGCGUUAAUCGGAAUUACUGGGCGUAAAGCGCGCGUAGGUGGUUUGUUAAGUUGGAUGUGAAAUCCCCGGGCUCAACCUGGGAACUGCAUCCAAAACUGGCAAGCUAGAGUAUGGUAGAGGGUGGUGGAAUUUCCUGUGUAGCGGUGAAAUG